UGGCACAGCCCCGGUGACAGAACCGGAGCAGUGACCGGGCCGACAGCGGGUCUGGGGCCGCCUCAGGCGGGAGGAGAUGGCGCGGCCUCCCCUGCGCCGCAAGGAAAAGCUCGUCAUACAUGGAAAGCUGGGCUUCAGUUUUGUAAGGUGAUUUUCUAUGCUGAAAUCUGGAACAUCAGCCCUAGAGGAGGAAAUACAAGGCUGCAGCUGCUUUUCCUGAGGAGGUCAGUGUGAGCAGUGAGAACUGCCCUGGAUCAGACACGAGUGAUGGCUGCGUGAAUCCUGAGGGACCUCGGGGAGAGAAAUGAUAGCAGUGGUCCACAGACCAUAGGAAGAUUCAUCAGCCCAGACAGAAGCGAAGUCGAAAUGCAGAGAAGUGCAUACAAGCAAAAGCUCAAGAGGCAUACAGAGGAGUCAGCUAAAAAUACAGGCUGGUACUGGGUAGUACUGAGAGGUGGGAAAGUGGAUCCUGGAUAAAAGUCCUGCCCAAGUCAAGACUCAAAGCUGAAGACUCCAAUUAUCUAUAAAUCACUUGAAUUUCCUGCAGAGAAAGAGAAAAAGGAGGAAAGAGCGAGACAGACAGAAAAACAGAGACAGAGGAUGUGCCAAGUGAAACAUUUGAUACCUGUCCUAAAGUAAAUUUUUCUCAAAAGCAACCAGGAGUUACCCGAUACCUCAAAACCAAGCUCAGAAGAAACAUGUUGCCAUUCUUUUUGGCUUAAUAUUGAAAUGAAAGAAUUGUCUUUUAAUUGUUCCACGAGUACAAAAUGUGUAACAUUGCA